rnacentral:rRNA from 1 species
GACGAACGCUGGCGGCGUGCCUAAUACAUGCAAGUCGAGCGGAUGGAUGGGAUCUUGCUCCCAGAAGUCAGCGGCGGACGGGUGAGUAACACGUGGGCAACCUGCCCCUAAGAUCGGGAUAACUUCGGGAAACCGGAGCUAAUACCGGAUAUGAUUAUGUCUCACAUGAGACAUAAUGGAAAGACGGUUUCGGCUGUCACUUAGGGAUGGGCCCGCGGCGCAUUAGCUAGUUGGUGAGGUAACGGCUCACCAAGGCGACGAUGCGUAGCCGACCGGAGAGGGUGAGCGGCCACACUGGGACUGAGACACGGCCCAGACUCCUACGGGAGGCAGCAGUAGGGAAUCUUCCGCAAUGGACGAAAGUCUGACGGAGCAACGCCGCGUGAGUGAAGAAGGUUUUCGGAUCGUAAAACUCUGUUGUUAGGGAAGAACAAGUACCAUAGUAACUGAUGGUACCUUGACGGUACCUAACCAGAAAGCCACGGCUAACUACGUGCCAGCAGCCGCGGUAACAC